rnacentral:rRNA from 1 species
UGCAAGUCGAACGGAAAGGCCCUUCGGGGUACUCGAGUGGCGAACGGGUGAGUAACACGUGGGUGAUCUGCCCUGCACUUUGGGAUAAGCCUGGGAAACUGGGUCUAAUACCGAAUAUGAUCAUCGGCUUCAUGGUCGGUGGUGGAAAGCUUUUGCGGUGUGGGAUGGGCCCGCGGCCUAUCAGCUUGUUGGUGGGGUAAUGGCCUACCAAGGCGACGACGGGUAGCCGGCCUGAGAGGGUGACCGGCCACACUGGGACUGAGAUACGGCCCAGACUCCUACGGGAGGCAGCAGUGGGGAAUAUUGCACAAUGGGCGCAAGCCUGAUGCAGCGACGCCGCGUGAGGGAUGACGGCCUUCGGGUUGUAAACCUCUUUCAGCACAGACGAAGCGCAAGUGACGGUAUGUGCAGAAGAAGGACCGGCCAACUACGUGCCAGCAGCCGCGGUAAUACGUAGGGUCCGAGCGUUGUCCGGAAUUACUGGGCGUAAAGAGCUCGUAGGUGGUUUGUCGCGUUGUUCGUGAAAACUCACAGCUUAACUGUGGGCGUGCGGGCGAUACGGGCAGACUAGAGUACUGCAGGGGAGACUGGAAUUCCUGGUGUAGCGGUGGAAUGCGCAGAUAUCAGGAGGAACACCGGUGGCGAAGGCGGGUCUCUGGGCAGUAACUGACGCUGAGGAGCGAAAGCGUGGGGAGCGAACAGGAUUAGAUACCCUGGUAGUCCACGCCGUAAACGGUGGGUACUAGGUGUGGGUUUCCUUCCUUGGGAUCCGUGCCGUAGCUAACGCAUUAAGUACCCCGCCUGGGGAGUACGGCCGCAAGGCUAAAACUCAAAGGAAUUGACGGGGGCCCGCACAAGCGGCGGAGCAUGUGGAUUAAUUCGAUGCAACGCGAAGAACCUUACCUGGGUUUGACAUGCACAGGACGACUG